UAGUCUCAAGCUCCAGUGAUUCCACUAUUUGGGCUUCGAUGCAAAUGAACUGAUGUCUGUUUCAUAUUUAAACAGCUACACUGUGGAGUGCAGGACUCAUCAUCAGAUCAGCCUUCAGAUAAACCAUGUUCACUUCAUUUCUCUUGCUGUUGCUGGCUGCUGUGUCUUGUAUUGACUGUCAGGUUGUGCUCACACAGUCUGAACAGUCAGUAGUUGUGUCUCCAGGUGCUUCCUACAAACUGACCUGUGCCUGCAGUGGGUUUACUCUUAGUAGCACUCGCAUGCACUGGAUCCGUCAGGCACCUGGAAAAGGACUGGAAUGGAUUAUUUAUUAUUAUUCAGAUGCUUCUAAGAGCUCAGCUCAGUCAGUUCAAGGCAGAUUCACAGCAUCUAAGGACAGCUCUAAUCUCUAUCUGCACAUGAGUCAGUUAAAGACUGAAGACACUGCAGUGUAUUACUGUGCAACAGAUUCACUUUGCUUGUUUUCAUACAGCUACCCUUACAAAAACCCAGAAGGGGGAGAAAUGGAGAUGAUGAGUGUUUAAAAAAAUAUGUUGAUUUGUUUGUGAAGUGGUUCAUUCAUUUACACAUUUAUUUUUAAAUCACUCUUUCUUAUCUUUAAAUGUGUAUAAAUUUAUAAAGCCAGGUUAAAAGGGGCAACAUAUCAGCAGUUGUGUUACUGAUUGAGUUCUAAUGAGUACAAAUAAUGUCUAUAAGACACAU